UACGAAGGGUGCAAACGUUGCUCGGAAUUAUUGGGCGUAAAGCGCACGUAGGCGGCAUUGCAAGUCGGGAUGUGAAAUCCCUCGGCUUAACCAAGGAAGUGCAUCCGAAACUGCUAUGCUUGAGUACUUAAGAGGAUCGCGGAAUUCCCGGUGUAGAGGUGAAAUUCGUAGAUAUCGGGAGGAACACCAGUGGCGAAGGCGGCGAUCUGGGAAGAUACUGACGCUGAGGUGCGAAAGCGUGGGGAGCAAACAGG
rnacentral:rRNA from 1 species